ACUAUCUACGGGGUCAAGUCCACAGUUCAGUGUCAGAAGUGAUCAACAACAGCUAUGACAGCAGUGUCAGUGCACAAGGAAGUGCCUCUGCAAAAACAGUAAGAACAUAUACUAAAUACAAGCACUAUCAUGAAGGAUAUUUCCACUUCACUGGCAGCAUUCUUUCCAGUGACAGGAGCAGGCAUGUAGACCGAGACUUUACUGCAAAUGAAAUCCUCACAAAGUGAUCAGAAAGACCCUUCAAAAGGGCCAUUUUUCAUACAAGUUGCAUGUAUGCAGGGCUUAAAAUUCAACAUGAUUUACAAUGUACAAACGUCAGUCUUGACUGCCCCAAUGGCACUGCUACAACUUCUCUUGCUUCAGUUUGCUUGCACAUCACCACCAUCCUGUAGGCAGGUACAAGAAAAAAAUUUGUUGAGCGGCGCCUUCUCCUUCCAGUUUCGCCACUUUCUAGUCUGAUGUGGAGUGUGCCUGCCGCGAGCAAGGCAGCAACUGAAGAGUGUCAGGGAACCACAUUACAUUAGAUCCUUCCAGCUGGGAGUGAUUAACUCAGUCCAUGAUACUGAAUCAUUUUAUAGAACUGGGAUGAUUUUGAAGAAACCCUAAUGGAAUAUACACACAAAUUCCUGGCAAUC